UCGGGAGAAGCAUUGUUAAGGAACUCGGCAAAAUGACUCCGUAACUUCGGGAGAAGGAGUGCCAGUAAGAUGGCCGCAGAGAAUUGGCCCAAGCAACUGUUUAGCAAAAACACAGGUCUAUGCAAAACCGAAAGGUGAGGUAUAUGGGCUGACGCCUGCCCGGUGCUGGAAGGUUAAGGGGAGAGGUUAGCGCAAGCGAAGCUUUGAACUUAAGCCCCAGUAAACGGCGGCCGUAACAAUAACGGUCCUAAGGUAGCGAAAUUCCUUGUCGGGUAAGUUCCGACCCGCACGAAAGGCGUAAUGAUUUGGGCACUGUCUCAACAAUGCACCCGGUGAAAUUGAAAUACCAGUGAAGAUGCUGGUUACCUGCGCCAGGACGGAAAGACCCCAUGGAGCUUUACUCCAGCUUGAUACUGGGAUUCGGUAUUGCAUGUACAGGAUAGGUGGGAGGCUAGGAAAUGGUAACGCCAGUUGCCAUGGAGCCAAUGUUGGGAUACCACCCUUGCAGUACUGGGUUUCUAACCAGCAGCCGUGAUCCGGCUGGGGGACAAUGUCAGGUGGGGAGUUUGACUGGGGCGGUCGCCUCCGAAAGGGUAUCGGAGGCGCUCAAAGGUUCCCUCAGAAUGGUUGGAAACCAUUCGAAGAGUGCAAAGGCAGAAGGGAGCUUGACUGCGACACCGACGGGUGGAGCAGGUACGAAAGUAGGACUUAGUGAUCCGGUGGUAUAAAGUGGGAUUGCCAUCGUUCAACGGAUAAAAGCUACCCUAGGAUAACAGGCUUAUCACUCCCAAGAGUUCACAUCGACGGAGUGGUUUGGCACCUCGAUGUCGGCUCAUCGCAUCCUGGGGCUGAAGUAGGUCCCAAGGGUUGGGCUGUUCGCCCAUUAAAGCGGUACGCGAGCUGGGUUCAGAACGUCGUGAGACAGUUCGGUCCCUAUCCGGCGUGGGCGUAAGAUAUUUGAGAGGAGCUGUCCUUAGUACGAGAGGACCGGGAUGGACUGGCCGCUGGUGUAUCUGUUGUCUUACCAAAGGCAUAGCAGAGUAGCCAAGCCGGGAAGGGAUAAACGCUGAAGGCAUCUAAGCGUGAAGCCCCCCUCAAGAUGAGAUAUCUCAUAACGUCAAGUUAGUAAGACCCCUUGAAGACGACGAGGUAGAUAGGGCAGAGGUGGAAGUGUGGUAACACAUGGAGCUGACUGUUACUAAUAGGUCGAGGGCAUAACCGA
rnacentral:rRNA from 1 species